AGCUCCGUACCAAAAAUUCCCAGCGCUAGGCCGAGCAGCACAAAGCGGGAGGCGUAAAAGAUCGGCUCAUCAGUCGCUUUGCGGGCGCGAGCCACUUAUGUGUCACGGACCCGCGAUAUAUUGGAGGCCGUCCAAUUCUGCGGAAAUUAUUAAAGCUAUGUAAACGCUUUCGUUUUAGGAACGUUGCCGCAGUCCAUGGAAGCGCUUUCAUCGCUGUUUCAACGCAUUUAUUAAAACAAAUCAAAGGAAGGCCGUAAGUGAUCCCAAAACAUAAAGAUAAAAUAUUGGAGUUUGUUUGUUAUGAGCAACUAUUUAUUGCAUGACCGAAAAAAAA